GCUCUGUCUUUGUUCCAUCUUCUCCUUCUUCCUUCCACCUUUUCUCUUGCAUUCAGAGUGUGUUCUGUAAUUUAUGUUGACCGAAUUGCCCCUCUUCAGAGAUGCUUGCAUUUUGAAGAAAUUCUAAGUCUGGUCUUGGUUGCUAUGCUAGAGCUUGAAUCGAAAUGAAUUGAACAUCCCUCACUAUGGAACUUGUCUGCUGCUUUUGAGUUUCCUUGUUUUGUCAAAUGUACGAAUACCCUAAGGUAUGCCAACAAAAAGUUGUUAUAAACUAAUCAUUUUUCUUUGAGUUUGGCCGGGUGAAGAAAAUGAUUAUUGCAAAGCAGUACCGAUGCAUGCACUCAGCUAGCUGUCAAUGUACUAAAGGGCAUUUAAGUGAAGAUGUGAUAUUCUUGGUGUUUCACCAUUUGAAUUGGAACCCCAAGCUAAUUGCUACUCUUUCAUGUGUGUGCAAAUGGUUUGAUGAUCUUGCCAAGCGAGUUCUAUGGAAAGAAUUUUGUCGAACAAGAGCUCCAAAGAUGAUGCUUGAUCUGCAAUCUAGUGGAAGCCACAGUGUUGAUGGGAGCUGGAGAGCCCUAGGGAAGCUUCUUAUAUACUGUUCAGGAUGCAAGAAAGGUGGCUUAUUCAAUAACAUUCAGGUUCCUGGUCAUUUUGUUUAUCGGACUCGAUUUUCUAGAACAUCAGGAAAGAGCUUUCUUUUGCCACAAUGCAUAAAUGAUGUUUUAUAUGUGUCUGAUCCUUGUGAGCAUCUUGACCAAGGUGAAGAUGGAGAUUUGGGAUUCUACCGCGGAAUUUUCAAGUCAUUUGCAACCUCAAAUGUCAGGAGGAUGCUUAUUAACAAAGGUGCACAGCUCCAUCCAACAGAGGUUUGCCCUUAUUGUAAGGCAAAGUUGUGGAGCAUGCUGCAGGCUAAUAUGAUCCCACAAAGUGCUAGUUGCAGGUUAGGUUCCUAUGAAGACUGUAUUGAGUAUUAUGUGUGCCUUAAUGGUCACAUGCUUGGAAUCUGCACUCUGUUACCAUUGUAUGAUUCUGAAGAGGCUUCUGAGAAGGAGUAAGAUAUUAAUGAUUCUCAGAUUGGCAUUCAGUCCUCACAUGAAGUUUGGUUGAAAACACUGUUGGUAUCCUUAUGGGUUCAUUUGAAGAACACUAUACCCUCCAAUCUCCUAAGUCCACCCGAGCAAAGAGAUACUCUUAGUAAAAGUAAUUCUGGAUUGAAGGAGACGAAACUGUCAUUCUCUCCCUUGCCUUGUUUUGGAUUUCUGGUAGGUUUGAAUUAGGACAAAAAAUGUGGGAUUUGAUGCAGAUAGCCUUUCUUGUGGGGUCCUUUUUUCAUGAAUAGGGACCAUUAUUAUUCACUUUUUUAUUUUUGGGAGAAUAUCCCCUAGUAAUCCCAUAGGUUUCCUAUGGAUUAAUUCGGAGUUUGUGGCGGGUCUAGAUUAUGGCUUUAAAUCUUCCAAAGAUGAUACUGCUCAUUUCUACCUGCUCAGUUUUCAUGCGUUAACUGAGUUAUCAUCAUUUGAUAUUGUUAUUCAUUUUAUUAUUCUACUAUCCUCAUGCCUAAAACAAAAUACCCUC